rnacentral:rRNA from 1 species
UACAGAGGUCUCAAGCGUUGUUCGGACUCAUUGGGCGUAAAGGGUGCGUAGGUGGCGCUGUAAGUCAGGUGUGAAAUUUCGGAGCUUAACUCCGAAACUGCAUUUGAUACUGCGGUGCUUGAGGACUGGAGAGGAGACUGGAAUUCCCGGUGUAGCGGUGAAAUGCGCAGAUAUCGGGAGGAACACCGGUGGCGAAGGCGGUUCUCUGGGCCUUACCUGACGCUGAGGAGCGAAAGCGUGGGGAGCGAACAGG